rnacentral:rRNA from 1 species
CAGCCGCCGCGGUAAUACCAGCACCUCGAGUGGUCAGGAGGUUUAUUGGGCCUAAAGCAUCCGUAGCCGGUUGCAUAAGUUUUUGGUUAAAUCUAUGCGCUUAACGUAUAGGCCGCCGAAAAUACUGUGCAGCUAGGGAGUGGGAGAGGUACACGGUACUCGAUAGGAAGGGGUAAAAUCCUUUGAUCUAUUGAUGACCACCUGUGGCGAAGGCGGCCAUCUGGGACAACACUGACGCUGAGGCACGAAAGCGUGGGGAGCAAACAGGAUUAGAUACCCGUGUAGUCCCUGUCUCUUAUAC